CCUAGUGCUCAGGAUGAACGCUGGCGGCGUGCCUAAUACAUGCAAGUCGAGCGAAUGGAUGGGAGCUUGCUCCCUGAAGUUAGCGGCGGACGGGUGAGUAACACGUGGGCAACCUACCUACAAGAUUGGGAUAACUUCGGGAAACCGGAGCUAAUACCGGGUAAUACAUUGGAUCGCAUGGUCCGAUGUUGAAAGAUGGCUUCGGCUAUCACUUGUAGAUGGGCCCGCGACGCAUUAGCUAGUUGGUGAGGUAACGGCUCACCAAGGCCACGAUGCGUAGCCGACCUGAGAGGGUGAUCGGCCACACUGGGACUGAGACACGGCCCAGACUCCUACGGGAGGCAGCAGUAGGGAAUCUUCCGCAAUGGACGAAAGUCUGACGGAGCAACGCCGCGUGAGUGAUGAAGGCCUUCGGGUCGUAAAGCUCUGUUGUUAGGGAAGAACAAGUACCGUUUGAAUAAGGCGGUACCUUGACGGUACCUAACCAGAAAGCCACGGCUAACUGCGUGCCAGCAGCCGCGGUAAUACGUAGGUGGCAAGCGUUAUCCGGAAUUAUUGGGCGUAAAGCGCGCGCAGGCGGUUCCUUAAGUCUGAUGUGAAAGCCCACGGCUCAACCGUGGAGGGUCAUUGGAAACUGGGGAACUUGAGUGCAGAAGAGAAGAGCGGAAUUCCACGUGUAGCGGUGAAAUGCGUAGAGAUGUGGAGGAACACCAGUGGCGAAAGCGGCUCUUUGGUCUGUAACUGACGCUGAGGCGCGAAAGCGUGGGGAGCAAACAGGAUUAGAUACCCUGGUAGUCCACGCCGUAAACGAUGAGUGCUAAGUGUUAGAGGGUUUCCGCCCUUUAGUGCUGAAGUUAACGCAUUAAGCACUCCGCCUGGGGAGUACGGUCGCAAGACUGAAACUCAAAGGAAUUGACGGGGGCCCGCACAAGUGGUGGAGCAUGUGGUUUAAUUCGAAGCAACGCGAAGAACCUUACCAGGUCUUGACAUCCUCUGACAACUCUAGAGAUAGAGCUUUCCCUUCGGGGACAGAGUGACAGGUGGUGCAUGGUUGUCGUCAGCUCGUGUCGUGAGAUGUUGGGUUGAGUCCCGCAACGAGCGCAACCCUUGAUCUUAGUUGCCAGCAUUAAGUUGGGCACUCUAAGGUGACUGCCGGUGACAAACCGGAGGAAGGUGGGGAUGACGUCAAACCUCAUCAUGCCCCUUAUGACCUGGGCUACACACGUGCUACAAUGGAUGGUACAAAGGGCUGCGAGACCGCGAGGUUAAGCGAAUCCCAUAAAACCAUUCUCAGUUCGGAUUGUAGGCUGCAACUCGCCUACAUGAAGCCGGAAUCACUAGUAAUCGCGGAUCAGCAUGCCGCGGUGAAUACGUUCCCGGGCCUUGUACACACCGCCCGUCACACCACGAGAGUUUGUAACACCCGAAGUCGGUGGGGUAACCCUUUUGGGAGCUAGCCGCCUAAGGUGGGAUAGAUGAUUGGGGUGAAGUCGUAACGAAGGAUAGC
rnacentral:rRNA from 1 species